rnacentral:rRNA from 1 species
AGACGGUCUACGAGUUUGAUCAUGGCUCAGAACGAACGCUGGCGGCAGGCCUAACACAUGCAAGUCGAGCGAACCCUUCGGGGUUAGCGGCGGACGGGUUAGUAACGCGUGGGAAUAUACCCUUUGGUACGGAAUAGCCUCGGGAAACUGAGAGUAAUACCGUAUGUGCCCUUCGGGGAAGAUUAUCGCCAAAGGAUUAGCCGCGUUGGAUUAGGUAGUUGGUGGGGUAAUGGCCUACCAAGUCUACGAUCCAUAGCUGGUUUGAGAGGAUGAUCAGCAACACUGGGACUGAGACACGGCCCAGACUCCUACGGGAGGCAGCAGUGGGGGAAUCUUAGACAAUGGGCGCAAGCCUGAUCUAGCCAUGCCGCGUGGACGAUGAAGGCCUUAGGGUUGUAAAGUCCUUUCAGAUGGGAAGAUAAUGACGGUACCAUCAGAAGAAGCCCCGGCUAACUCCGUG